GGGGAGGUGCCAGAGAGGCCGAUUGGGCUCGCCUGCUAAGUGAGUGCGGGGGCUAAAACCUCCGCCGCGGGUUCGAAUCCCGCCCUCCCCGCCU
rnacentral:tRNA from 2 species